rnacentral:tRNA from 1 species
GCUCCCAUGGCGUAGUGGUCACUGCGCUCGCCUUGCACGCGGGAGACCCAGGUUCGAUUUCCGGCGGGGUCA